AUAAUGGCACCAACAGGAUCAAUCCACCAGUAGAAUUUAUCGCCAAGUACAGCUGCUACCAGUCCGACUACAUUAGUAACCACGUCAAAAUAGUGAUCCUUUGCGUAGGCACGGACAAUGUUGUUUCCUGAGCUUCUGCAGUAUAACCAAAGGGCAAGUUUUACUACUGUGGCCGUUAUCAUGAUAGUAUAUAACCAGAAAAUUUGAUCCGAGGUCAUUUUUUCAGGAGAUUCAUCUUUAACGAGUUGUUCUACAGCCUGGAUAAACACCUGAAAGCCA
rnacentral:misc_RNA from 1 species